CCUACGGGGGGCUGCAGUGGGGAAUUUUGGACAAUGGGCGCAAGCCUGAUCCAGCCAUUCCGCGUGCAGGACGAAGGCCUUCGGGUUGUAAACUGCUUUUGUACGGAACGAAAGGGCUCUCUCUAAUACAGGGGGCAUAUGACGGUACCGUAAGAAUAAGCACCGGCUAACUACGUGCCAGCAGCCGCGGUAAUACGUAGGGUGCAAGCGUUGAUCGGAAUUACUGGGGGCGAAUCGUGCGCAGAGGGGUGAAAUCCCCGGGCUCAACCUGGGAACGGCCUUUGUGACUGCAAAGCUGGAGUGCGGCAGAGGGGGAUGGAAUUCCGCGUGUAGCAGUGAAAUGCGUAGAUAUGCGGAGGAACACCGAUGGCGAAGGCAAUCCCCUGGGCCUGCACUGACGCUCAUGCACGAAAGCGUGGGGAGCAAACAGGAUUAGAUACCCGUGUAGUC
rnacentral:rRNA from 1 species